rnacentral:rRNA from 1 species
CACGUAGGGCGCGAGCGUUGUCCGGAAUUAUUGGGCGUAAAGAGCUCGUAGGCGGCCUGUUGCGUCCGCUGUGAAAGCCCGGGGCUUAACCCCGGGUCUGCAGUCGAUACGGGCAGGCUAGAGUUCGGCAGGGGAGACUGGAAUUCCUGGUGUAGCGGUGAAAUGCGCAGAUAUCAGGAGGAACACCGGUGGCGAAGGCGGGUCUCUGGGCCGAUACUGACGCUGAGGAGCGAAAGCGUGGGGAGCGAACAGG